UUUGCCUCAAGAUCAAAUUCUGGCCAAAAUAUUAGCCCCUGUUCCUGCUCCAACUUCAGGAUGUAUCCUGAGAACCAGCUUUCCUCCCCUGCAGCAUCUCUGGCACCUGCUCUACUGUCCCUUCUUUAUUGAUUCAUCCAUUCAACACAAAUGUACUGAGCAGCCACCUGGGUCAGACACACCGCUAGGGACUGAGGAUGGGGGAGUGGACAAGGAGGACCCAUCCCUGGCUGCCGGGAGCCUACAGUCUAGUGGAGGAAACAGACACCAGAGAACUAACCAUACUGACUAAUGAAUGACGACUGUGGUAUUGCUGGUCUGAGUGCCCCUGCUAUAAAGCAAGGAGUGUCAGUGCGGACUCUGCAGCCAGAAAGCCAGAAAUGUGCUCCCCUGUUGGGGAGAUAAAAGAGCUCUCGGGAGCACCGGGGAUGAAGAAGCUUGUUAAGGA